rnacentral:lncRNA from 1 species
GCUACUUUUAGUAAUAUGGAAACAUUAAAAACGAAUACUAUAUAGAACAUGGACAACACAUACUAUAUAUGAAAUAAAAAAUUGUAUGGGAGGAAGGGUUUAUAACUUCAGGUGGAUGCUGAACAGAUAAUUCUUCAGAGCAAGCUUUAUAAAAAGCCAAAGUAGAUGGUGUGGGGUAGAGGGUGAAAGGGGAUGAGUGAAGGCUCCUGGAAUGAAGCUCCAACUUUGCAACUUGAGAGUUCAGUGAUCAGAGGCAUAUUUCAAUGUCUUUUUAGGCGAGAUAUAUAACAUACCUUUCCUAACCCAUGAUAUUUUUAAGAUUAAAAACUGAAGGUGAGUAAAUCUGGAAACUGAAACACAAUGCAAAUCUUGAAGCAUGAAGCAAAUAUUUAUAAUUAUUCUCACUGGUCUUCAUGCUAGUAAUGAUGAUGCCAUUGAAUCUUGAAGGUCCUUAGUAUUGAAGAAUCUGCUAUCAACAAGUAUAUAAGCAUAGAAGGGCACAGAGGUUAAAUGUUCUUGGACAGAUAUUACUGCUGUUACCUGGAAGUGGUAGAAAUGAGACCCAGGGAGAAUGUUCCAUUUGAAGAAGAGGGGGUACUGAUGCCAUGUGGCUGUGAUCAUCUUCCUAUAUCUCAAAGACUUUGCCCUAAACAUUGUUGCAUUUCCUUAAAGAAAAGAUCAAGAGUUGAGAUUAAACUUGACUUAAAACGCCAGAUAUUUGCCAGAACCUCUAGGAAAUUGAUGAAAUAUUCCUGUCUGAAGGCUGCAACCAAACAUGAUCUCAUCCAUAUCAGCAGCAUUACUAAUAAAACACCAAGGUGCUUCCUGACCUCCAGGAGAGAUGUGUUAAAUUGGAUGGCAGAAAUAAGUCACUGGAACAAAAUGCUUGAGAAAGAACCUUCUCUGCUCCCUACUUUCUUAAAAAUACACUCACAUGUUCUCCCAUAUACCAAAACAAUUAUUCUAGAUUGGAGAUAUUUAAGGAUUCACACUUACGUAAAGAUUCAAUGGACUAAAUUGACUUUUCCGACCAUUAUGCCGUAA